CGGCAUGCUUAACACAUGCAAGUCGAACGGUAACGCGGGGGCAACCCUGGCGACGAGUGGCGGACGGGUGAGGAAUGCUUGGGAAUCUGCCUGUUAGUGGGGGACAACCCGGGGAAACCCGGGCUAAUACCGCAUACGCUCUACGGAGGAAAGCGGGGGACCGCAAGGCCUCGCGCUAACAGAUGAGCCCAAGUCGGAUUAGCUAGUUGGUGGGGUAAAGGCCUACCAAGGCAACGAUCCGUAGCUGGUCUGAGAGGACGAUCAGCCACACUGGGACUGAGACACGGCCCAGACUCCUACGGGAGGCAGCAGUGGGGAAUAUUGGACAAUGGGGGAAACCCUGAUCCAGCAAUGCCGCGUGUGUGAAGAAGGCCUGCGGGUU
rnacentral:rRNA from 1 species